GUAGUGCAAAAAAUAAGGAAAAUAGAAAGAAAUUGAAGAUCACACAUUGUGCUGGGACAAAGGCCUUUAGUCGUAUUAGAUAUGAAAAUGUCUGAUGGAUAAAGGGCAGAAGACAAUUUGCU